rnacentral:rRNA from 1 species
UACGUAGGGUGCAAGCGUUGUCCGGAAUUAUUGGGCGUAAAGAGCUCGUAGGCGGUUUGUCGCGUCGGCUGUGAAAACCUGGGGCUCAACCCCGGGCCUGCAGUCGAUACGGGCAAACUAGAGUGCGGUAGGGGAGACUGGAAUUCCUGGUGUAGCGGUGAAAUGCGCAGAUAUCAGGAGGAACACCAAUGGCGAAGGCAGCUCGCUGGGACGGUACUGACGCUGAGACGCGAAAGCGUGGGGAGCAAACAGG